UACGUAGGGGGCAAGCGUUGUCCGGAAUCAUUGGGCGUAAAGAGCGUGUAGGCGGCCAGAUAAGUCCGCUGUGAAAUCUCGAGGCUCAACUUCGAGCUGUCGGUGGAAACUGUCUGGCUAGAGUCCGGAAGAGGAGAAUGGAAUUCCUGGUGUAGCGGUGAAAUGCGCAGAUAUCAGGAAGAACACCCGUGGCGAAGGCGGCAUCCUGGACCAACACUGACGCUGAGUGAGCGAAAGCCAGGGAGCAAACGGG
rnacentral:rRNA from 1 species